AACGGAAUUAUGACAGAAAUCUACCCCUAACCCUACCUCUAAACCUACCCCUAACCCUACCCCCUAACCCUAAACUAACCUUUACUAGGGUUAGGGGAAGGGUAAGUUUAGGUAUAGGGUUAGGGGUAGGGUUAGGGAAUUGACAAAGUCCUGAAGUCCCGGAUUUUCAGAAGUGCCGAACCGAACCGAAAUGCCGAAGUGCUGAAUUGGCGAAGUGCUGAAUUGCCGUAUAUUUUGC